CAGCACGAGAGAGGAGUAAAAAGAGGGGUGCGUAGUAAAGAAAAAACGAAAUGGUCGGAGACAGGAGACAGAGAGGGACGUAUCGAGUCCUGACAGGUGACUCACCGAGAGAAGGGUGUUGGCGGACCCGUCGCUGAACGUGCUGCCCGGGACCCGAUAGAAAGAAGCUGAUCACCAGGUAGUCGGAGGGAUCCUAUACGGUGGCUGCAGCCGCUCGUCAUUUAGACAAGGCAGCAUCCUACAAAGCGGCAGGGGGAAGUCCCGAUCCCUGAGUGCGGAGCAUCAUCCCUGGGUUGUCAAGACGGGGGAGCGGCCUGAUGCCUGGUGGGAGGAGCUAGCGGCUGAGGAGACCGUGGAAUAGACGGCAGGAGAAUAACAGUGUGGAAGAAGGGGGAGCAACCUGACUUUCAACGGGAGCGGUAAUCUAUUCCUUUCCCUACAAGUGCCAUGGGGGAGUGUCAAACCCAGGGCAGAGCGAAGUCAGCUGGUACUGAGUAUUCGAUCAUUCUUGGUGGGAGAGUACUGGAAAAUACGGAGAGAAGCAGAGGACAGCCCAGGAUCAAUAAGAGCACCGGGGAAGCGCAUUGGCGAGCGGCACGGGUUGCUAUGACAACCAAGCCGGGACCCGAUCGUGACGCAACAGCCACGGGACACUGGAAGCUGACGGACGGAGGGUGCGACGUGAUAGUCCACAGGACGCCGGAAGUAUCCCGGUGCCUGGCGGCGACGGCGACACGGGCGAUGCUCCUCCUCACCUCUCUUCACUCACAGCACAGGGCUUUAAAAGUGUCUCUGAACCUGUCUGUCCACCCACUUGUUGUGUACAUGUGCAAUGAGUGCUGAUAAACCUACUGCUCCUCCAUCCAUGCGACUUCAAAUUACUAGCAUUUACUAGCAGAGGUGAGUCACUCUACCCAACCCUCUUCUUUCUCCAUUUCCUCCACUAUGCUUUUCAUUGUAUUGUUGAGUAAGUUGUUAUGGU